rnacentral:rRNA from 1 species
AAACCAACAGGGAUUGCCUUAGUAACUGCGAGUGAAGCGGCAAGAGCUCAAAUUUGAAAUCUGGCAUCCGCCCGAGUUGUAAUUUGUAGAAGCAAUUUUUGAAUUAGUCCUUGCAUAUGUUCCUUGGAACAGGACAUCAUAGAGGGUGAGAAUCCCGUUCAUGGUGGGGAGCCUAAUUCUUUGUAAAAUGCUUUCGACGAGUCGAGUUGUUUGGGAAUGCAGCUCUAAGUGGGUGGUAAAUUCCAUCUAAAGCUAAAUAUUGGCGAGAGACCGAUAGCGAACAAGUACAGUGAUGGAAAGAUGAAAAGUACUCCGAAAGGAGAGUGAAACAGAACGUGAAAUUGUUGAAAGGGAAGUGCUUGAGAUCAGUCAUAGGGUUUAGUGAUCAGCUUUCUUUUUAGUUUGUGCACUUGCUAUUCUCUAGGCCAGCAUCAGUUUGUGAAAUAAGAUAAUUGCAUAGGAAUGUGGCUGCUUCGGCAGUGUUAUAGCCUGUGUCGAUAUUAUUUUGCAGACUGAGGACCGCGCUUUUGCUAGGAUGUUGGCAUAAUGAUCUUAAGCAGC